UAUCAGAAUGUCAACUGCAUAGUUGGGGUUAAGCCACUUAGUCAUGAAGGCAAGUGUAUGCGCAACAAGGAAUCUCUAAUCCUCGAUAAGAGAGGAAGAAUACUCUAAGAUAUGAUUCGGGAAUCUUCGGCCGAAGUAUCGAGCAUAAUAAAGGAAAGCGUUCCUAUACGACUCAAUUGAAUCAUAUAAGAAGGAAUAAUCACAUUAGGGGUUUGACAUAAUAUAUCCAUACCCUAGUAAUGUGAUUGAGAGUAUUGUUUUAGAGAAGGAUCGAAUUACAUUGUAAUUCCAAAUGAAUAGGUUCUCCGAACAACUUCUACAUUAGCUUGGGUAGCUAUGACAUAUGGUUAGAUGUCACUCAUAGCUUGUGAGUUUUUCUAGAUGAUUAAAUGUAGUCAUCAAAGAAGAAAGGUGAAUUAAAAUGAAGUUUUAAUUCACUAAGUGAUUGAAUUAAAUAUAAUCAAUUGGAUUGAUGCCAAUCACCUCACUGCCUUGCUAAUUAGAACCUAAAAUGAUUGUACACCGAUACACUCUUGUAGUGAGUAAUUAAUGGAUGAUGGAAAUAAUUAAUUGGAUUAAUUAAGUGUUGUGAUUAAUUUAGAAAGUCUAAAGAAAUCAUAAAAGCGAUAAAGCAACGUUCGGGUUUAAUUGGGCCCAUUGGGCCUAAACCCAUUGGGCUUUUAUUCAAGCAUUGGAUGACUUGAAAUAAAUGAAAGCCCAAAGCCCAAACAACACAAAGAGGGCCGGCCAUUUUAGGUGAAAGGGAGAGAUAUUUGGUCAAGUGGUUGACUAGGUUUCUUUUGUCUAUAUAAGGAACUUUAUAGCACAAAGUUCAUUAGGGUUUUUGUGUGUUUAAAACAACAAAGAGGCAAAAGAAAUAUCUCUCUAAAACACUACAAAGGCCGGCCACCUUAGGGGUGUUUUUACUAACACAUUUUUCACCCUUUUGGUUAUUCCUCCAUCCAUCUCACUACACUAGUGGGUGUGGAUCUUUAGAGGUUUCUACUUUGGAAACUUGGAGAGAACCUAGGAGCACUCUUACUAACAAAGUGGAGGAGGCAAGGAGGGAGGCUAGGCUCAAGGACUUCAAGGAGCAUAGGGCUUGGAGGUGGUCCAUCCUUGGUCUAAAAUCAAGAUCAAGAGGUUUAGACUAAACCUUCACUUUGUUCUUCUCUAAAAUUGUUUUGAUGCAUUAUAUAUAAACCUAUGAACCUUGAAGGGGAUUUGCAUGACUAUAGCUUUGAUAAUUUGUUAUAAAUGCUUCCGCUGCUUUCGUUUAUUAAAAUUUGAUUUGUAUAUGCAUGAUAGUCAUUUUCGAAAUCCCUUUAUGUGAAAACUCAUAAUUUUCCCUUCAAUCUUUAUAAUCUUAAUGAGAUGCUUUCGGUUGUUUGGGUACAUUUGUUUAUGCUUAUGCUCAAAUUUGUAUAUCAGUGGACCUCUUCUUUUUCUGUUAAGUCACUGUCCCUCGUCAGAAACAUGAAGUCAUGAUUUAGGUUUAUAAGGGAGUGUGUUUUCAUGAAGAGCAUCAAUUAUGGGGGAGUUCAAUUUCAUUGCAUGCAUCAUUUCUAGGAGAGUUGGGUCACUUACCUGCUCUUUCUUGUUGCUUCAAUUUGCUUGGACAUGCUCAUACGAUAUAUUGCUAAUUCCUUAUCCGUUGUGCUUUUGUUGUUCUUGCAUUGUAAUUUGCUCCAAAUUUCAAAUUGCAUAUGAUAUUCGGCCCUGACUUUAUCUUACCAUGACAAAAUGGGGGAGAAACUUUUUAGUUGUGUUUUAUACCUUGAAAGUCAGUCACCCAUAAAAACUUCACUUGUUUUUGUCAAGAUUUGUUGUUUUGCAGGAUCCAUUCCUUCGUUCAUUUAUUGAGGGUGGGUGAGUGAAAUUAGCUGAUUUGGGGUAUUUUGCCAAGGAAAGCCAAAGGGAGAGACUGCGAAUUCUAGACAUUUAGGUUUGGCUUUCAUUGUUAACAUUGUAAAUGUACCACAAGCUCAAUCUAGCUUUAGGAUGUUCUCUGUUUAUGGGUGGUGUCUGCUGUGAAGAAAUGUACAAGGAUGGGACACAUCUCACAGUUGGAAGUAUGCCCACAAAGCCACUCAUUUGAUGUAAAAGCUUUUGGAAUACUUAUUGUAUUAAACUAUUAAAUGUUUAAUGAAGUGCAAAGCUUAUUGUUAAUCACUAUUUAUUGUAUCAUGUGUUGAAGCAAUAAGGGAAUCCAAGGAAAGUAUUUAAUCAUAGAGAGAAGUGAUCUAAGUAAGUUAGAUUAACGAGACCUUUCUCUUAUGUUCAUUCCUAAAACGUUCCUAGCUAUAGGAUUCCCAAUUGGGCAUUGACAAUCCGCUAAGGUUUGUAUGUGUUAUGUCAACUCAAGCGUGAGUAUGACUAGUCUCAAGUCAUUUAGUAUUGGACACUAAGACAAACACGUAGGUGCUCGAAAGGGUAAUCGAGUACACUGAACAACGAUCAAAAGAGAAUUCGAACAUACAUGUCAUGUAAGAACUCAUUAGUUGAAAUAUGCAAAGUAGUCCUUUGACCUGAGGCAUCAUAGAUGUCUAAUGGUUUGGUCCUUGAUCUUUGAUCAUGUCAAAGGCAUUCCAUCGAAAGUGUCCACGACAUUGUUGGGGUCAAGAUAUCUAGUCAUGUAGGCAUAUGAUGAAGGAUGAUUUUGUGAAAACAUGUUCAUUUGAAUAACAUCUAUAGCAUGCAUUUAACAAUUAAAAGGCAGAAUCAUGCUUGCAUGCAUUCAAAAACAAAACAUUACCCAUGAAAUUCAAAGCCUAGUAGAUUGGUGAACCAAGACUCAACUCAAAUCAAAGUGAGUUGAGAAAUUUAUACCUUUGUAGAUUCCUCUUUGCAUAAGCAAAGGCUAAUCACCCAAAGAGAGGGCCUUCAUUCCUUGCUUCUUAGAUCCAUGGUUUUGGAUGCAAGAAUAUGGUUCUCCAAGUUCCCAAAAUUGAGAACCUCUAAGUGUCUACACCAAGGUUAGAUUGGAGAAGACAUGAGUGACAUUGGAGGAGUGGGAUUGCUAGCUAAUCCCUCUAAGGGGGCCGGCCUCUUUAGAGAGAAAGGAGAGCUUUGUGUUCUCUCCAAUUUCCUAAAACAAACCCUUAAUGAAUUUUAGGCCAUAAAGUUCUUUAUAUAGUCACUUCUUUAAAUGACCUAAAGAACCAAAAACCCUAAUUCAACACACAUGGCCGGCCACAUAAGGGAUUUGGGCUUUUGGGCCUUUGUGAAUCUUUAUUCAUUAAAUUGUCAUACAAUUUAAGUCAAUGGGCUUGACGUUCGAAGCCCAUUGGGCCUUAAGGUCCAAAACUAUCCCGAGGUCUUUAACGAACUUAUUCGUUUGAUUAAUUAACAUAUUAAUUAAUCCUUGCCAUAAAUAAUUAAACCAUUUAAUUAUUCCUACUCAUCUCCAUUGUUUCUUCAAUCUCCACCUUACACGGUGUA
rnacentral:lncRNA from 1 species